rnacentral:tRNA from 1 species
AAAAAUGUUUUAGACUAGUAGUUUUAGUCCACACUUU